GGCGCAGCUACACAUGCAGUCGAGCGGUAACAGGAGAAAGCUUGCUUUCUUGCUGACGAGCGGCGGACGGGUGAGUAAUGUAUGGGGAUCUGCCCGAUAGAGGGGGAUAACUACUGGAAACGGUGGCUAAUACCGCAUAAUGUCUACGGACCAAAGCAGGGGCUCUUCGGACCUUGCACUAUCUGAUGAACCCAUAUGGGAUUAGCUAGUAGGUGGGGUAAAGGCUCACCUAGGCGACGAUCUCUAGCUGGUCUGAAAGGAUGAUCAGCCACACUGGGACUGAGACACCGCCCAGACUCCUACGGGAGGCAGCAGUGGGGAAUAUUGCACAAUGGGCGCAAGCCUGAUGCAGCCAUGCCGCGUGUAUGAAGAAGGCCUUAGGGUUGUAAAGUACUUUCAGCGGGGAGGAAGGUGAUAAGGUUAAUACCCUUAUCAAUUGACGUUACCCGCACAAGAAGCACCGGCUAACUCCAUGCCAGCAGCCGCGGUAAUACAGAGGGUGCAAGCGUUAAUCGGAAUUACUGGGCGUAAAGCGCACUCAGGCGGUCAAUUAAGUCAGAUGUGAAAGCCCCGAGCUUAACUUGGGAAUUGCAUCUG
rnacentral:rRNA from 1 species